rnacentral:rRNA from 1 species
CAGUCGCCGCGGGAAUACGGAGGGUGCAAGCGUUAAUCGGAAUUACUGGGCGUAAAGCGCACGCAGGCGGUUAUAUAAGACAGAUGUGAAAUCCCCGGGCUCAACCUGGGACCUGCAUUUGUGACUGUAUAGCUAGAGUACGGUAGAGGGGGAUGGAAUUCCGCGUGUAGCAGUGAAAUGCGUAGAUAUGCGGAGGAACACCGAUGGCGAAGGCAAUCCCCUGGACCUGUACUGACGCUCAUGCACGAAAGCGUGGGGAGCAAACAGGAUUAGAUACCCCAGUAGUACCUGUCUCUUAUAC